AGCGAACGCUGGCGGAAUGCUUUACACAUGCAAGUCGAACGGCAGCACGGGGGCAACCCUGGUGGCGAGUGGCGAACGGGUGAGUAAUACAUCGGAACGUGCCCAGUCGUGGGGGAUAACGCAGCGAAAGCUGUGCUAAUACCGCAUACGAUCUACGGAUGAAAGCGGGGGAUCGCAAGACCUCGCGCGAUUGGAGCGGCCGAUGGCAGAGUAGGUGGUUGGUGGGGUAAAGGCCUACCAAGCCAUCGGUCUGUAGCUGGUCUGAGAGGACGACCAGCCACACUGGGACUGAGAAACGGCCCAGACUCCUACGGGAGGCAGCAGUUGGGAAUUUUGGACAAUGGGCGCAAGCCUGAUCCAGCCAUUCCGCGUGCAGGAUGAAGGCCUUCGGGUUGUAAACUGCUUUUGUACGGAACGAAAAGGCUCUCUCUAAUACAGGGGGCUCAUGACGGUACCGUAAGAAUAAGCACCGGCUAACUACGUGCCAGCCGCCGCAGUAA
rnacentral:rRNA from 1 species